GGCUACUUAGCUCAGUUGAUAGAGCGCUGCUCUCAUGAGGCAGAGGUCCCAGGUUUAAAUCCUGGAGUAGCCA
rnacentral:tRNA from 1 species